GGGCGGGUAGCGUAGUGGUCAGCGCGUUCCUAAGCGUUUCAGCGUUGUUUUCUUCUCUAUCUUCUCUUCCUCAGCGUUUAGCGAAAGACCUGGGUUCGACUCCCAGCCCGCCCA